CCUACGGGUGGCAGCAGUGGGGAAUAUUGCGCAAUGGGCGCAAGCCUGACGCAGCGACGCCGCGUGAGUGAUGAAGGUCUUCGGAUCGUAAACCUCUGUCAGCAGGGAAGAACGGUCACUGGGCUAAUCAUCCGCGAAUUGACGGUACCUGCAAAGGAAGCACCGGCUAACUCCGUGCCAGCAGCCGCGGUAAUACGGAGGGUGCGAGCGUUAAUCGGAAUUACUGGGCGUAAAGCGCUCGUAGGCGGUAUGUCAAGUCAAGGGUGAAAUCCCCGGGCUCAACGUGGGAACUGCAUUGGAAACUGGCAAACUGGAGUGUGUGAGAGGGUAGUGGAAUUCCAGGUGUAGGAGUGAAAUACGUAGAGAUCUGGAGGAACAUCAGUGGCGAAGGCGACUAUCUGGAACAUAACUGACGCUGAGGAGCGAAAGCGUGGGUAGCAAACAGGAUUAGAUACCCGUGUAGUC
rnacentral:rRNA from 1 species